GCACGCCUACUGAUUAGGCGCACACUAAUUGUGCCCACCUGUGGACAUGACACUGAACCAAUGGGCCCAUCACUCCUUGGAAAUAUAAUGGUGUUCUGUGAGGCUCGUAGGAUGAAAGUUGCCGUCGCUGGCAGUAGGCUACUCUGGAGGACAGGAGCGUUUUCUUGUGCUUAUUUCACGCUGGGCAUCGUGUGACAAAAGCUCCCUGGAAUCCUGCCUUAUUUCACCCGACAUUUGACUAGUAGACUACCCAUGUUCAUCAAGCUGACGCGCCCUCCCUCCUCCACUCUGACCCCUCGGGCCUCUUGCCCAUAGCACAAACAAGGCCAAGGUAGGCAGCAAUGGCUUACUUGUACUGCCAGUUAACCAUGCAAUAAUGAUUGGGGUUGCUACAUGGGUUUAGAAAAAUGUGUAUUUGUAUGUUAUUUAUAUUUUAAGAUUUAAGUGCAUACAUUUUGUACUGAUUAAAAGUUCUUUGUAUUGAUAACUGUAAAAUUAUGACUUGUGGCAUGUAUGUGAUAAUUGAAGAUGAUGUAUGUUA